GGGGAUGUGGCUCAGUGGUAGAGCGCUUGCCUAGCAUGCAAGAGGCACUGAGUUUGAUCCCCAGCACCA
rnacentral:tRNA from 1 species